AAGGCUAUACUUUCAGGGAUCAUUUCUAUAGUUCGUUACUAGAGAAGUUUUUCUGACUGUGUAGAGCACCCAAAACCAUGAGAAGAAGACUUAGUGUUCUUUCCUGAGUGUGAAGCCGGCUCUUAGUGUUGCUUUCUGCAGCUGCUGUUCGCCAUUGAUGAUCGUUCUCGAUUCAAGAGGGAGAGGACACAGUCUGAGUGGA